AGAAUAUAUUAUUCAAAGACAUCGUCACCCUUGUGUUUGCAAUUUAUGUGUUAAGAAAUCUGUUACUAAAAGAAUCAUAAAAAAAAUCAUCUUGUUUGUGUAUUUCCACUAUAAAAUAGCCCUAUAUAUUUGUUUAUUGCUUCGCAAUAGGGAUUUAUAUACUUGGCAUCUGGUUUAACUUAUUACUUGCCAUUCUUAUGGAAUGUAGAGCACCGUGACUGAAUAGCUGGGUUUUUGUUUGAGCCUAUUCAAGGAGAGGCAGGGGUAUGUAUGAUUGGACAUAAAUCUUUUUACACUACUGAUGGUUGAUUUUCUUUUUAUACCCAUUGUUUGGGUUAUAAUGAGUUUAUUUCUACUUUUGAUCCAUCCUUAUUGGACUUCAAUGAAAUUGCAAGUUUGUUUGCACAAACGAGUUUCUAUAUCCAGAUUCAUGGCAAUUUGAGAGAGUCCGCCACUGCAAUUGAUGGACGUGUCUAACAUAAAAAUAGGUCGUUGAUAAUGUAAGUACUUUCCAUAUUGUUUCAUUUUUUUGUGUUAGACUUUCUUAUGAUUAUUGAAUAUAUGUGACCCUAUCUUGAUAAGGUUUAUCUGUUUCAUCAGCAGUGUCCAUUCUUAAGUCAUUCUAUCAACUUUUUUGUUGGUUAACUAUGUUAAUUCCACCGGUCAUGGUGCCACAUAUUUUAUUUGCCCUUUCCUUUUUUAUUUCCCCCCUCUUUUUGUAGCUUCUCCAUUUCUUAUGCUUUUGUUUAUAAUUUUUUUUUUUAUUUUUUCUUGACACAGACAAUAUGCAAAACAAUAAGAAAUAUUACCUAACCUAUAAAUGCAGAGCAAAUUCCCAAAUUUAAGAUCGAUUCUGUUGAAUUUGAAACACUCACACUAGGGUCCUUGCCGCCAACUUUUCAAGAUUGGCUCUACUGUUGGUGGUACUUAUUUUAGCUCAUGAAUUGGAGGUAGUAGAGGAUGCAGAAUGCAAGUUUAUUUGAAGCCAAGUUUCAUUCAAGGUCAUUGAGUUGGGUUGAUAGAAGUAAUGUUUUGUAUAUGACAAUAUUGAACAAAUAUGUAAAGUUUUCAAAAUGUUAAUACAUAUAUGGUAAAAUGUUAAUAUAUGUUAAAGUUUUGGAA